rnacentral:lncRNA from 1 species
GGUGAUAGAGAAAAUGAUGAGUAAUGACUUGACUGGGGCUGGCGGUUGAGUUUGGUGGUUCUGGUUAAAAAAAAGAGGAACUUCUAGGUGGCUAAGGAGUAAAUGGGUCAUUAGAUUAGGUUGAAGUCUGUAGCUGGUGGUGGUUCUAGUGGAUUUUUGGAUCUGUGAUGGUGGUUUGCUCGGUGAAGGCUGGUGGGAGGUACUGCUGUGGGUAUUUGUGGGUGGUCGGAGUU